rnacentral:miRNA from 1 species
GGGAAGCAGGCCAACCUCGACGAUCUCCUCAGCACCUGAACGCCAAGGCUGGGGAGUUCCUCGAGGUUGGCCUGCUUUCC